ensembl:antisense Gm44317 predicted gene, 44317
UUGACUCUAGGAGCUGCACACAUGUGCACAGCUGGCAGCAGCUGCAGCUGCUUCACACAAGCCAUCAGGCUGCCACCAUGGCUAUCUACAGGGACUCAAGCUACAGGAAGCCAGUGCCCAACGUUCUGGGUUCCCCACUAAAGUGCAACAUGCCUCUUCUGAAGUAGGGGUGCAGAGAAACGUCCCCAUCCCCGUCCUAGGUUUCUAGUCUGCACUGGGCAGCUGGGCCACUGAAUGGCAUGUGCCUCAGGAAGAACAUGUCUUUGAACAGUCAGAAUCUCUGAGACUGGCAGUGACGGCGGGUGCCCAACAGGCCUGUGGUGCGGCCUCAUCCCUCUGGCUCCUUUCCCAUGACUCUGGACUCUGCAGGCAGGAGGAGGCCAAACGGAUGGGACAGGACAUGGCCAGCCACAGCGUGACCUCCAACACCACUGGUGGUCUUGUUCCAGUGCUCUUCUACAGCCCACUGGUGAGGAAGAGGUACACUCAGGCCUUCUCAAGUGGGAGAAUAAAGGCUGGCAGGAAUUGCAGGAGCCCCUCCGCAUUGCUGAGUUGCUAAACCCCACUCUGACUUCUUCAUCUUAAAUGUCCGGUAGUAACACUGACAGCAAAGAUCCUGACCUACCACACGGGACCUUCCAGGCAGAGAGGUGGCUCACCCAAGCCCAUAGAUGCCAUGAGGGUGGAGAACAAAGAAUGCUGGUCUGUGAAGAAGGAAGGGAGAAGGUAUGCGUUCACUGCCAUGAUUCAACUGAGCACAUCUCACAGGGCUUCCACACCAUCCCUAUCCGAGGCUUUUCCAAGGAUGACACUGUGCACAUGGAUGUGCACACAGUAGGCAUUUCAUACUAUUUUUUGAGUGAAUGAAUUGGAGGAGGGAAUGUGUGUGCAUUAAGACAAACUCAGUUGUGCCAAAAGAAGUUUCUAGGCAGGUACAAGGCUGUGGCUCUGUGGUUGUAUCUUGAGAGUAAAGCUGAGAAGGUGGGCAGUGGAUCACAUACUCUAGCAACCCCUGGUCAACAGCAGCUUGGGGCAAGGUGUUGGGAGCAGAGAGCACUGUGGGUGAUGCUCAGGAGGAAUCAGCCUGGCCCUCCAGGACAGCUUCUGAGGAACAAAACUGCAGGCAGUGACAAGAGGGCCCUACAAAUUAAGCCCUCUUCUCUUCAGUCAGACAUUUAGCCUACCAAUGUAGCAUGGGAAGGUCAAAGGACUUAAAGAAGAGCGAGCAGGGUGACCACUGUGAACAUCCUUCUCCUGUCAACUAAAAGCAGUGCAGGUGAGACAGGCAACAGGCUGAGAGCUAAGCUGCAUGAAGCUGGCCUGUACCUGGGGCUCAUGAUGGUAAACAGGAGGGCAGCGCGGGCGCAGAGAGGAGUAUUCGUUCUUCUCUUUGUCCCUGGUCACCUCCUCCCUCCUUCUGUAACCCUCUGAGGAGAAAGCACUCGUGCUAAAGCUUCAGCUCCAAGCUCCCAGAGCACGGAAUCUGAGUGGGCUCCAGAUGAGCUGAGUGGCUUCUGGCUUCCUGUUUCUGGAAGGGCAGAGUGCAGCUCACAGCACUCCACUGCUGAUGCCAAGGGCAGUUCUUCAUGGAGACCAGGGAGACUUGAGCAGGCAACAUUCAAAGCAGAAGGCAGAGUACGAUGACAGACACCGACGGCCGGACUGGCACAUCCAGCUGGCAGAGUCUGGUGUGGUGGCGGCUCAGACACCUGUUCCUCAGGUUCCCUCUCUGGCUCCUUGGUCACCCUCCUUGUCAGGAGCACAUCAGGAGGACUCUUCCAGGGCAUUGACCACUUGUUCGAGGAUGUCAGGGCAGUGAUCGGCUAUCUGCUGGAGAAUGGUGUUGGCAAACUCCUGCAGCUCGGCGUUGUCCCCUUCAACUUUCUCCAACUCGUUCUGAAGCUGAAAGGGAAAAGAGGCAGGGUUCAGGUGGAGUUCAGGUUAUUUGUACCUAGUGGGAAUUCAUCGGGAAAGAAAUGACAAGCAGAGUUGAUGUCCCUGUAUCAAAAGGAAUGGUCAAAACACACACAUUCCUAGACUCUCUUCAUGAAAGUAAGGCCCAGAGGAGUCAGUGCUGAGUCCAAGGCUGCACACUGUAACGUCCAGUGCUGACUUCAUGUGGAUGGCUGUGCCCAGGAGUCCAGACUCACAGGCCUGGGUGAUUGAGGAUCUCAACUUUGUGUGAAGCUCUUCCACAAAGAUUUCCCUUUGCUACAAACAGCUGUGUUUCUGUAGGGGCCUCAGGCAGCUUGGUUAUUCUGAUAGAUAUCCUAGCCCACUGCUGAGGAGAGACACACCCCCGAUGUGCUGUUCUCAGUCGCCCCGGACUGUCCUCCUCUAACUAGCAUCACCAGUGCCCUGUGUGAGGUCUGAAAGGCCGAGGAGCGAGUCCCUGUGCUGAAACUCCUUGUAGGCUGACAGCAGGACAAGAACAUCAACAUGUAAGUCACAACCCAGUCCAGUGCACACAGAGGCUUGAGGACAUACUGGGAGAGAAGACACAUGGUUACUUCACUCUGGGCCGUAUGAGAAGCCACUAAAGGUGGUGAGGAUCUGGGUCACUUGGGAGAUCAGAGGCAGAUCAAAGGAACCUCGGGUAAGCUGGAUCCUACAGUGAGGUGGGGGUGGGGGUGGGGGUGGGGGUAUGGAGUUGAAGAGAUAGGCAAGGGCCAGACUCCAAGAGAAGCUAGAGCGCAAACCCCAACUGGUACAAACUACAAGGAAAUCAUGUGCUUUUAAACGACACACUGGCCCUGCUCUCGUCUUCUUGGUGACUUGGAAGGUUAGGAAAAAGCAGAUCAGUGGGCAGCAGGCAACACCCAGGGGCAGCAGGCAACACCCAGGGGCACAAGGCAGACUCACACAGGGGACAGAAGAGGCACCCAUGAGAACAGAAACCACCUGUGAUGGGCUAGCGCGGAAUGAGUGGGUAACAUGGCUCUCAAAUUCUAAAAUAUUUUGUAGAAGAGCUGCUUCUAUUUUGUAGAAGGCAGGGUUCCAGGGGAGGGAGGAGGGAAACUGGAAACUGAGUGUCAAGUGUACAGUUCAGGUCCCAGUUUAGAACACAGCCUGGAUCUCAGUGUCAGCUCUGCCAUUUAUUGGCUGAUGUGACCCUGACCUCCCUCCCCUUCAGUAGGAUAGACCAGUAAUAUUUUCACAGGGCAGUUUUAUUAGAGGAUUUAACGACAAUCUCAUACGAAAGGCAGGGUAAUGCCCACUGCACUGAAAAUUCUUGAAAAAAGGUUAACUACUGUAAUUACUGUUAUCAAGCGGAGAAGAUGACCCAGAAAAAGUAGAUUAAGUGGCAAAGAGAACCAAGUUUUCAGGACCCCACUGUUUGUUGACUGGACAUUCUGAGCCAUGAAUGAGCUUGGUACUUCUCAAGUGCAGCCAUCAGAGGGAGACUGGCAAUCUUCUUUCUGUUGACUGUUGACCCUGAUCUGGAGGCUCAAGAACCAUAUUUAGACCACGUUAAGCCUUAGUGCAUCUUUAAAAGAUUCAAGACAGGAGUUAAACUAAUCCAUUUUCACCUAACAAUAUACUGUGCUUCCAAAUCAAAUCUCCAAAGCUGGCACAUAACUGACCUUGGGAAUGGGCUCUAGGGCCCUGUGCAUGCUGGGCAAACACUACGGCUGAGCUGAGAAUCCAGCAUCCACAAGGAUAUGUUAAAGAAGAAAGUAAAAACACUAUAAAACACACUAGCUAGAGGGCACUAUAUUAGUAUCAUAGUAUCCACUGGACUUUGUAUUAGUUCCCCCCACCCUCCCCGCCCAGGACAAAAUACCUGACACAAACCACUUUAAAGGAGGAGUGACUUAUUUCAGCUCAUGGUUUUAUAGGGCUUGAUCUAUAGUCAGGUGCUAAGGGCUUGGCACCAGAUGGUAGCAUUACUGAGAAGGCUGAACCUUUAAGGGGUCCAAAGUUUUAGGUUCCUAGGAGGAGCUGUGCCUUUGCAGGGGACUGUGGGACUUUGGGCUGAUCUUUCUUUGUGUGUGUGUGUACUCCAGCCACAACAUGAGCACUAGCUGCCCUGCUACAGGUUCAACAGCAAUAUGGCAACUGCUCGUGAGUGCAAUCUCUGAAGCGGAGACCAGCACGCCUCCUUUCUCUGUGAGACGACAGGCUUGUUACAGAGAGGGAGCUGACACACAUCCUCUAUUUUAUGGAAUGGCAAACCAACUCCCUUACUGUAAAUAUUAUAGUGAAAAAUAC